AUCUGCUAGUACCAUGAACAACAUGAAUGCCAAGAGAGUGCAAAAUAUGUGAAGCGUGAGAUCCACAACAGAAAGCUACCAAAGUCCACGCAAACGCCACGCGAUUCGUACUCUUGACAAGCAACUCUUCUUUUUUCUGAACCAUCUCUCGCCACUUUUUCACAUUCUCUUUCACUCCGAGACCCGAAACCCUCCUCUUCGACUCGAAUCCGCAAUCAGUCAAUCUCCGACCAAGACUAU
rnacentral:misc_RNA from 1 species